UCUAACAUGUGCGCGAGUCACUGGGAUCAAGUCUAAACCCAGAGGCGCAGUGAAAGCGUGGGGCUCGCACGGCAUAAAGCCGCUGCGAGCCGCUAAGGGAGGACGGCCGGUCGUUCCCGAACGGUGCGGCCGGCCAGCACUCCCGGGGCGCCUCGGCUCCGGCCGCAGGCGCACCCGGAGCGCACACGUUGGGACCCGAAAGAUGGUGAACUAUGCCCGGCCAGGACGAAGUCAGGGGAAACCCUGAUGGAGGUCCGCAGCGAUUCUGACGUGCAAAUCGAUCGUCAGAGCUAGGUAUAGGGGCGAAAGACUAAUCGAACCAUCUAGUAGCUGGUUCCCUCCGAAGUUUCCCUCAGGAUAGCUGGCGCCGAGUUGGAGUGGGACAGUCUCAUCCGGUAAAGCGAAUGAUUAGAGGCCUUGGGGCCGAAACGACCUCAACCUAUUCUCANACUUUAAAUGGGUGAGAUCUCCGGCUUGCUUGAGCGAAGCCGCGAGAAG
rnacentral:rRNA from 1 species